UCUUGGUCUGAAGAGGGGUAUACCUUACCUGUUAUUGUUCUGCACAAGUGUAAAUGGCCUGAAACUCUCAUGUGAUUUGCAGUUGAAAAGUUCACAAUUGAACGUGUAAAUAAAGCUGGUGCCGUUUUUGAUUCCACAAAGUUAAGGUGGAUGAAUGGCCAACAUUUGAGAUCUCUACCAUCAGAAGAGUUAAUACAAAUCAUUGGUAGCUGCCGGAAGGAUGCUGGCAUUCUUACAUAAUCAGGGGGGAUUUCAUACAAGAGGCUGUCCAGAUAUUGAAGGACGGAAUCGACUUGAUAAGCGAUUCAGAGAAAGCUCUUUCAAACUUACUAUCU